AUAAAAGAGUGGUAAGUAGGACGACCAAGGGAAAAAUAGUCAUUUAGCUCAAUGGUAAAAGGGUUCCAGAAGAAUCCGUUCUUUCACGGUUUAACCUCUUUUGUUCUGUUCCAACAAAGGAGAAAUAUCGACCUCUUCAUCUUCAGAACUCUUUUCUUCUAAAUUUUCAAGGACAGAAAGAGUUCAUCUUCUCAUCCAGAUGUUACAAUUUCAGAUUGCCAGGACGGAUCUACUUCUGUGACCCGUGGUUGAUUGACUCUUCAGCUUUCUCUCGAGUUUCCAGGGUGAGCAUGGCGUCCGCUGACCUCUAAGACCUUCCUAUCGCAUGUCUUACUUUUAUUUCCCAGACAUAGACAUUAUGUAUUAGUAUUCCAAACUGUAUUAUUCUCCUUAGAUGCUCUUGUAUUUUUCAGACUAGACCCUGGGGUUAUUUACUGUCGUCCACACUUUUUACUAUUAUUUAUCUAUAUAUAUCGUGAGACUUACGUAUUUGUUA